AAAAUCCGUCGACUUUAGAAAUCGUGAGGGUUCAAGUCCCUCUAUCCCCCCAAAAAGACCGAUUUGACUAUUUCUCCUACCCUCUCUUUUUUUUAGUGGUUCAAAAUUUGUUCUCUUUCUCAUUCAUUCUACCUUUUUACAAACGUAUCAGAGCAGAAUUUUUUUCUUUUAUCACAAUCACAAGUGGUGUGGUAUAUAUGAUAUACGUACAAAUGAACAUCUUUGAACAAAGAAUCCCGAUUCACAAUUCAUAUCAUUGCUCAUACUGAAACUUAUAAAUUAUUCUAUUCAAGAAAUCGAAUUCCACGCUCAAGACUUUUAAUACUUUUUUAUCUUUUUUAAUUGACAUAGACCCCAGUCAUCUAGUAAAAUAAGGAUGAUGCGCCGGUAAUGGUCGGGAUAGCUCAGCUGGUACAGCAGAGGACUGAAAAUCCUCGUGUCACC
rnacentral:tRNA from 1 species